UUAGAUCAAUGACCAACUCGCUCAACGACCAAUUUCUUUAGCCACUUCAUCGCCCACAUCUUCCAGUUUCGUUCCAGAGUGUUCUCUGUUUCUUGCUCCCCAUUAUGUGCAUGGGUGUUUCCCUCCGACUCUCUGUUUUGACUCCCACUCUUGAGGUUCCUUCUACGAGUGAAGAUCCCAGAAAUGGAGCCUGGCCUCUUGUGAUUGAUAAAACAGCUGGAGUCACCCAUUGGUUUAAAUGAAGCAGGAGUUGUUAACCGGACUGUGUUCAUGAAUGCUCUGUUUUGGACUCGAUUUGUUCUGGAAAGGUGAGGAGUUUCUGUCUCUCAUCUUCCAAGAAGAGCAGCAAGCGAGUCUCGGUGCCGACAAUGGUGAGAUGGGUGGUGCUCCCGCUGUAGCUCGGCUUCAGGCCCUGGAGUGGAUGAUGAAGGUCAAUGCUCAUUACGAAUUCUCAGCAGUAACUGAGUUUCUCGCUAUUAACUACUUGGAUAGGCUCCUUUCAAGCCUCCAUUCUCAAAGAGAUAAGCCGUGGAUGAUCCAGUUAGCAGUUGUGACUUGUCUCUCCUUGGCUGCCAAGGUGGAAAAGACCCAAGUGCCUCUCCUCUCAGACCUGCAAGUGGAAGACAACGAGUAUGUGUUUGAGGCGAAAACAAAUUUAGAGAAUGGAUUUUCUGGUGCUCUCAACGCUUCAAUGGAAGAGGAACCCAGUCACCCCACUCUCCUUCAUUGAUCACAUCAUAAGGAGGUCUUGUUGCUAUAUCCUUUGGCUUCCCCAAGCUUCAUUCAUUGCUAUACUUCUACCAGCAGAUGGCCAAUGCAGCACUCAACUAUAGCCAAGAACUGCCCACAAAAGUCCAUGAUGCGCUUGUAAACGCCCUUGAACGUGUCAGCCAGCAGAGCACCACCCCCAGGUUUUUCUUCUCAUGAAAGAACAGAGCAGGCCUUUGACACAAUAUCUGGGAACCAUUUAUUUGACGUAUCCUCCUUGUUGAGAAACCCAUAUCAUAUUCCAAGCAAAAAUAUUGCUAGUGCAGGAGAUAUUGAAUUUAUAGAUCCUGCCAUUUCAGCUGUAGGCAAAGGAAGGUCUGACACUUGUGAAUGGGACUGCUGUUGGGUCAACGGUGGCCGCAACGGUUUGUUUUGAUGCCAACAUCUUGGAGCUCUUUACAAAGGUUCUGUCUGCUUUGUUUUGUGAAGUGAUGAAUGGCAAGCCUGAGUUUACGGGUCCACUGGCUCAUAAGCUGAAACACCAUCCUGGCCAGAUUGAAUCAGCUACUAUAAUGGAAUUUCUUCUUGAUGAAAGUGACUACAUGAAAGCAGCAAAGCUUCGUCAAGAGAAGGAUGUGUUGAUGAAACCUAAACAAGACCGGUAUAUACUCAGUGGACACUCCUUCUGCAGCCUCCGACCCAUAACUUUGUGGUCCUUGACAUGGAAAUCCUUGCCAAUCCUUCAAAGGAAAUAGCCCAUCCACUAAUCAAAUUCAUCUUUCAUCCAUCCCAUUCUCUACACCACGUGCAUGGUAAACCCAUUUUUUUAAUAUAUCCAUCUAAACCCAUUUUUCACUCAUGUUUCCAACCCACUUGAUUCACUUUCCCACCUUUUACCUCACUACACCACACCACACACCCAUACCCAUUUUUCUUCAAAUGCCCGUUUCCAUACCCAUCAUCACUUUACUUGAAUACUUGGUAACUCACAUUCCAUCCACUAUCACUUCCAUCUUGUUACCCUCUCAACUUUGACAUUCCACAAUACCCAUUUCCCACUCAUCCUUUCUCUAUCCCCCCACAUGUAUAUCAUUCAUGCACGUGACUCCCUAUCCCCCACAGUAGCUGUUACAAUAGCGGCUGCUGCUGCAGCCAAGUUAAGGAAAACAUCGGGCACGUUUGCUACAACUGCUGCUAACGCACUUGCUGGUGAGGGAACAACGUACAUGCCUUAGUUGUUCAGUCUUUUAUCUGUUGAUAACUGGGGGUGGGGGCAUACUUCCAUGCUCAGUUUUUGGUGGUUGAAAGUGGUAGUGAGAGGGGGAAGAAGGCUCUCUUGCAUUUUACUCAUGCAUUCAAGCCACAAUGCUGGUAUUUUAUUGGUCUGGAGCGUACUUAUAGGCUUGGGUUACUUGGAAAAACAGUGAGUUCCAUACACAGCUUCAAGAAGGUGCGACAGCUCGGAUCUAUAACAUGGCUCCUCAGCUGUACGAACGACGAGAAGAAGAAUUACAGAGAGAUGAAUUUGGCUCCCACAUUGGAGGUUCCUUCUAUGAACAGCCACCUCAUAACUAGAGACUGGUAUCCUGCAAUUAAUAAACCAGCUGGAAUCACCCAUUGGCUUAAACAUAGUAAAAAUGCAGAGGAUGUUGAUCGGAUUGUGGUUUUAGAUGCUGACAUGAUUAUCAGAGGCCCCAUUAUACCUUGGAAGCUGGGUGCAUUGUCGUCACAUCGAAACAUUGGUAUUACCGGUCAGAGGGAUGUUCAUGGGAAGUGACAGUGACAGAGAUAGCGUGUAAUAUGAAGAGGUUGUGGUCCUCUCCUCAACGCGACUUGGAUUCAAAUGCUGGAACAACAAUGCGUCCAUUGACAGCUGUAGUUACAGUUGUUGGUGGAAAUGCAAGCCAUGUAAUUGACGGGGUGUUGCGCAUGAGAGAAAGACCAAUUGGGGAUCUAAUCACAGGUCUUAAGCAGCUCGGUGCAGACGUUAACGGCUUUCUUGAAACAAACUGCCCUCCUGUUCGUGUUAAUGGGAAUGGAGGCCUUCCAAGAAGAAAGAAGAAGCCAUUGGACCUUGCCAGGCUUCCUGCUGCAAGAGUCAUGAGAUGUACUAUUGUAGAGAAAUUGACUGAGGAAACUCUGAGAGACUGAGGCCUACCCCUACGUGUCUCUAGUUUGCAUGGCCAUCUUUGGCAUGCAAUCAAGGGACCACGUGGCAUCUUCUCUCUUAUCAUCUCCUGAUUUUCAAAAUAAUUUCCUAGCCCCAUUUUCAAA